UACGGAGGGUGCGAGCGUUGUCCGGAAUCAUCGUGGGCGUAAAGGGCGGCUAGGCGGCCUGAUAAGUAGGGGGUGAAAUCCUGCGGCUUAACCGCAGGGCUGCCUUCUAAACUGUCAGGCUCGAGCACAGUAGAGGCAGGUGGAAUUCCCGGUGUAGCGGAUGGAAUGCGUAGAGAUCGGGAAGAACAUCAGUGGCGAAGGCGGCCUGCUGGGCUGUGCUGACGCUGAGGCGCG
rnacentral:rRNA from 1 species